rnacentral:rRNA from 1 species
GAAACUGCGAAUGGCUCAUUAAAUCAGUCUUAAUUUGGUCGGAGGAAGCUCCCUGUUGUGGGGAGGUAUACGGAUAACCGUACAAAAGGUAGAGCUAAUACGUGCCGAGAAAGCGGGGUCUUCCCUUGUGGAGGGUGCUGCGGGUUUUAUUAGAAUUACAAGACGACGGCGCUGUACUCUUUUGGGUGCGGGGUUUGAGUUGAAUCAUGGUAACAAGAAUGGAUUGCGGGUUGUGCUUGCACGGCUGCGAUGUACCGAUGGAAAGUCUGCCCUAUCACCUGUCGACGGUAGGAUAGAGGCCUACCGUGGGGAUAACGGGUAACGGGGGAUUAGAGUUUUAUACCGGAGAGGGCGCCUGAGAGAUGGCGACCACUUCCAAGGAAGGCAGCAGGCGCGCAAAUUACCCAAUGGCGGCAUGCCGAGGUAGUGAAGAACAAUAACGAUGGGCGGGUCUUAGAACUUGCCCAAUUGGAAUGAGUUUAAAUUACAACCCUAUUCGAGGAGCAACUGGAGGGCAAGUCUGGUGCCAGCAGCCGCGGUAAUUCCAGCUCCAGUAGUGUAUCUCAAAGUUGUUGCGGUUAAAAAGCUCGUAGUUGGAUUUCCCGGGGCUUAAGGGGUGGGAUGUGGUCAUUUGAACUGCGGUCGUUCCUUUUCCGGUGGCGGUCUGCGGUUAUAUCCGUGGGGCGCAUGUACUUUGAACAAAUUAGAGUGCUCAAGACAGGCGAUUUUAUUAUUGCUGUGAAUAGAUUAGCAUGGAAUACGGGUAUAAACUCUCUUCUCGGGAUUGUUGUUUUGACGAGGAGGGGGAAUGAUGGAUAGGGACAGGUGUGGGCAUUGAGAUUGUUACGUCAGAGGUGAAAUUCUUAGAUCGUAGCAGGAUCAGCAGACGCGAAAGCAUUUGUCAAGGAUGUUUUCAUUGAUCAAGAACGAAAGUUGGGGGAUCGAAGACGAUUAGAUACCGUCGUAGUCUCAACCAUAAACGAUGCCAGCUAGGGAUUGGAGGGGGCACGAGACUUUCUCACUACUUUUUCAGCACCUUUACGAGAAAUCCAAAGCGUUUGGGUUCCGGGGGAAGUAUGGUCGCAAGGCUGAAACUUUAAGGAAUUGACGGAAGGGCACCACCAGGAGUGGAGCCUGCGGCUUAAUUUGACUCAACACGGGAAAACUUACCAGGCCCAGACAUAAAAAGGAUUGACAGAUUGAAAGCUCUUUCUUGAUCUUAUGGAUGGUGGUGCAUGGCCGUUCUUAGUUCGUGGAGUGAUUUGUCUGCUUGAUUGCGAUAACGGACGAGACCUUGUGUGGAUGUUGCUGGGCCCAAGGGCUUUUGUUGUUGGGACCCGGGACCUUCUGCGACUGCUGUAUGUGUUUUAACCAAAGGAAG